GGUGGAGUUCCUGAGCGGCCAAAGGGACCUGACUGUAAAUCAGAUGCGAAAGCUUCGGGGGUUCAAAUCCCUCCUCCACCA
rnacentral:tRNA from 3 species